rnacentral:rRNA from 1 species
UACAGAGGUCUCAAGCGUUGUUCGGAUUCAUUGGGCGUAAAGGGUGCGUAGGUGGUGCCGUAAGUCAGGUGUGAAAUCUCGGGGCUCAACCCCGAAACUGCACUUGAUACUGCGGUGCUUGAGGACUGGAGAGGAGAUCGGAAUUCAUGGUGUAGCAGUGAAAAUGCGUAGAUAUCAUAGGAAGACCAGUGGCGAAGGCGGAUCUCUGGACAGUUCCUGACACUGAGGCACGAAGGCCCAGGGGAGCAAACGGG